rnacentral:rRNA from 1 species
UACGUAGGGUGCAAGCGUUGUCCGGAAUUAUUGGGCGUAAAGAGCUCGUAGGCGGUCUGUCGCGUCUGCUGUGAAAACUCAGGGCUUAACCCUGAGCUUGCAGUGGGUACGGGCAGACUAGAGUGCGGUAGGGGAGACUGGAAUUCCUGGUGUAGCGGUGAAAUGCGCAGAUAUCAGGAGGGAACACCGGUGGCGAAGGCGGGUCUCUGGGCCGAUACUGA